rnacentral:rRNA from 1 species
GACGACCUACGUACCGUUAAGGUGGAGGGGGGAGUAGCCGGGCUAACGCCCCGGGUAAUACCGCAUACGGUUGCCGAGGGGAGUCCCUUGGCAAAGAAACCUCCGGGGCACAGAGAGGGGCUCGCGGCCUAUCAGCUAGUUGGUGAGGUAAUGGCUCACCAAGGCGACGACGGGUAGCUGGUCUGAGAGGAUGGCCAGCCACAUUGGGACUGAGAUACGGCCCAG